GCCAGACUCCUACGGGAGGCAGCAGUGAGGAAUAUUGGUCAAUGGGCGUAAGCCUGAACCAGCCAAGUCGCGUGAGGGACGACGGCCCUACGGGUUGUAAACCUCUUUUGCCGGGGGACAAACGGCGGCACGCGUGCCGUCCUGAGGGUACCCGGAGAAAAAGCAUCGGCUAACUCCGUGCCAGCAGCCGCGGUAAUACGGAGGAUGCGAGCGUUAUCCGGAUUUAUUGGGUUUAAAGGGUGCGCAGGCGGAUUGUCAAGUCGGGGAUAAAAUGGGGGGGCUCCCCCCCUCCCCGCCAUUGAAACUGGCGUUCUUGAGUGGAAGAGAAGUAUGCGGAAUGCGUGGUGUAGCGGUGAAAUGCAUAGAUAUCACGCAGAACCCCGAUUGCGAAGGCAGCAUGCCGGCGUCCGACUGACGCUGAAGCACGAAAGCGUGGGGAUCGAACAGGAUUAGAUACCCCAGUACA
rnacentral:rRNA from 1 species